rnacentral:rRNA from 1 species
UGGGGAAUAUUGCACAAUGGGCGAAAGCCUGAUGCAGCAACGCCGCGUGAGUGAUGAAGGCCUUCGGGUUGUAAAGCUCUGUCUUUUGGGACGAUAAUGACGGUACCAAAGGAGGAAGCCACGGCUAACUACGUGCCAGCAGCCGCGGUAAUACGUAGGUGGCAAGCGUUGUCCGGAUUUACUGGGCGUAAAGGAUGCGUAGGCGGAUUUUUAAGUGAGAUGUGAAAACCCUAAGCUUAACUUGGGGACUGCAUUUCAUACUGGAAAUCUAGAGUGCGGGAGAGGAGAAUGGAAUUCCUAGUGUAGCGGUGAAAUGCGUAGAGAUUAGGAAGAACACCAGUGGCGAAGGCGAUUCUCUGGACCGUAACUGACGCUGAGGCAUGAAAGCGUGGGUAACAAACAGGAUUAGAUACCCUGGUAGUCCACGCCGUAAACGAUGAGUACUAGGUGUAGGAGGUAUCGACCCCUUCUGUGCCGCAGUUAACACAAUAAGUACUCCGCCUGGGAAGUACGAUCGCAAGAUUAAAACUUAAAGGAAUUGACGGGGGUCAUAGCUG